rnacentral:rRNA from 1 species
GACGGUACUUGAGGAAUAAGCCACGGCUAAUUCCGUGCCAGCAGCCGCGGUAAUACGGGAGUGGCAAGCGUUAUCCGGAAUUAUUGGGCGUAAAGCGUCCGCAGGCGGCCUUGAAAGUCUGUCGUUAAAGCGUGGAGCUUAACUCCAUUUCGGCGGUGGAAACUACAAGGCUUGAGUGUGGUAGGGGCAGAGGGAAUUCCCGGUGUAGCGGUGAAAUGCGUAGAUAUCGGGAAGAACACCAGUGGCGAAGGCGCUCUGCUGGGCCAUAACUGACGCUCAUGGACGAAAGCUAGGGGAGCGAAAGGGAUUAGAUACCCCUGUAGUCCUAGCCGUAAACGAUGAACACUAGGUGUCGGGGGAAUCGACCCCCUCGGUGUCGUAGCUAACGCGUUAAGUGUUCCGCCUGGGGAGUACGCACGCAAGUGUGAAACUC